rnacentral:SRP_RNA from 1 species
GGACAAGUCCUGUACGACCAGCUCCCACUAAAUCCCCCAGGGCAGGAAUGCAGCAAGGGUAGGUGGUUGAGCGGUGCGCUACAGGUCGCUUGUCCCAC